ACACGUUGCAACGUGUAUAAAUAGCCCUUUAGGUUGCAAGCGUCCCGCCCAUGUGGCGGGGGUAGGG
rnacentral:ribozyme from 13 species